UACGAGUGCGUCGAGCGUUAUCCGGAUUCACUGGGUUUAAAGGGUGCGUAGGCGGGCAGGUAAGUCAGUGGUGAAAUCUCCGGGCUUAACCCGGAAACUGCCGUUGAUACUAUCUGUCUUGAAUAUCGUGGAGGUAAGCGGAAUAUGUCAUGUAGCGGUGAAAUGCUUAGAUAUGACAUAGAACACCCAUUGCGAAGGCAGCUUACUACACGAUCAUUGACGCUGAGGCACGAAAGCGUGGGGAGCAAACAGG
rnacentral:rRNA from 1 species